AUAUUUUUUAGUAGAUGAUUCUGUGCAAUUUUCAGAUACUAGUAGUCAGAAAAAAUAUUAUUUGAAUAACCUAGACAAAAAUAUUAUACAUAUACUAAAUAUAGAACUGAUUUUUAGAUGAAAAAAAAAUUUUUACACUACUUUUUUUUCGCAUAAAUGGAAGAUUUUCUGAAAUGGAGUUAGACAAUUUGCUAAUGAGAACGUCAUCUAAGAAAUUUUUUAAUUGAAAUGUCUUUUGUAAAACAGUAAAAAGAAGACAAAUCUCCUAAGACUUCUAGAACCAACAUCUGUAUUUCUUAUUUGUAAAACAACUUGCCUUUGAGACGAAAAAAAUUCAUCUUCUUUUUAAAUGACAUCAAAAAGUUGUCUGUGCUUCUUGGGUUGUUAUUAAUUAGGAGUUCCCAAGUAUCACACUCGACUUUAUGACAUCUAUAAGAUAGCAGUUUUUUGACUCAUCGAUAAGACACCAAAGUCUUGACAAAAUAAUCAAAAAUUUGAGGCACUGAAAAAAUGUCUGAUUCAGACUUCAGUGACGUCAAAAAGUAAAUUACAAAUGGGAAAAAGUACACAAAUUUUUUAUGACUCCUAGGACCAACACCUGUAUGUCUUAUCUGUUCAGAAAAACUUGGCUUUUAGAUAAAAAUACAAAAUUUAUCUUGUCCUUUUAAAAUACAUAUUUAUGACAUUUUAAAGUUGUCUCUAUACUGCCUGAGAACCCAAGUAACACAUUUGGUUUUAUGACAUCUAUAAGAUGCCAGUUUUGAGGCUGUUUUUUGACUUGUCAGAUACCAAAAUGUUAACAAAAUAAUUAGAAAUUUAUGCCACCGAAAAAUAUCUGCUUAAAAAACUUGACACAAGUGACGUCAAAAAGUAAAUUACAAAUAAGUGUCGAAUAAGUCACCUAAGCAAAUUUUUAAUUGAAAUGACUUUUUUAAGAUGGAAAAAGAACAUAAAUUGUUGAUAACUUCUAAGACCUACUUCCUCACGUUUUAUUUAUUUAAAAAAACGGCUUCGAGAAAAUAAAAAUCUGUCGUCAUUUUAAAAGACAUCUUAAAGUUGUCUUUGUGCUCCUUGUUAAUCUUUCUAACAAACGCUUUUAAUAAAUGAAUGAUAAUGUAGCAGAUGCAAGACAAUUUAUAAAAUUUAAAUAAACAAAUAAAUUAAUGAAAUUUUAAAAAAAUGGGCGUACUGAUUUUUCAUCGAUCUAAAUACGCACUUUUUAAAUUUCCUUCAACUUAAAUUUUAUUUACUUACUCCAAAAUUUAAAAAAUUGACAAUUGUCAUGUACAUUUAGUAAUUAAGACUUUAAUCAGUGACAUAAUCUAACAACAGUAAAAAAAUAUAAUAUCUAAUCUAAUAAAAUAAUAAAACAUACUGCUUCGUGACGAUGUACUUUGCUGCUGCUAAAACUCCGUACCGCAGAAUUUGGUGUUGUCUGUAAAUAAAAAAUUUUUAAGUUAAAAAACAAAUAAAUAACAUCUAAUUAGUACACGCAGGUUGCAUAAACAAUUUAUAUUUGACUUUAUCAGAUAAAUAAUACUGAUGAAUUAUUGCACGUUAAUUUAAUUAUAUUUUAUAUAUUUAAUUACAUAAAUAUGAUAUUUUGAAAUAAAAUUUUACCUUUGAAAGAACUUUGCAGGCAUUUCUCAUUAAUAAAGCCAUUUUUUAAAAUAAAUUUCUCGAUUAACUCGAGGAAAAAAAGAGUACGCCUGAAUUUUUUUUUUUUUU